GACGAACGCUGGCGGCGUGCUUAACACAUGCAAGUCGAACGCUCGUAGCAAUACGAGAGUGGCAGACGGGUGAGUAACACGUGGGAACCUUCCCUUCGGUCGGGAAUAGCUCAGGGAAACUUGAGGUAAUACCGGAUACGCCCUUACGGGGAAAGAUUUAUCGCCGAAGGAUGGGCCCGCGUCGGAUUAGCUAGUUGGUGAGGUAACGGCUCACCAAGGCGACGAUCCGUAGCUGGUCGAGAGGAUGAUCAGCCACACUGGGACUGAGACACGGCCCAGACUCCUACGGGAGGCAGCAGUGGGGAAUAUUGGACAAUGGGCGCAAGCCUGAUCCAGCCAUGCCGCGUGAGUGACGAAGGCCUUAGGGUUGUAAAGCUCUUUUGGCGGGGAAGAUAAUGACGGUACCGCAGAAUAAGCUCCGGCUAACUUCGUGCCAGCAG
rnacentral:rRNA from 1 species